rnacentral:rRNA from 1 species
GACGAACGCUGGCGGCGUGCCUAAUACAUGCAAGUCGAACGCAGUGGGGACGGGUGAGUAACACGUGGGUAACCUCCCAUCAGAGGGGAUAACACUUGGAAACAGGUGCUAAACCGAUACUGAUGGAUGGACACGCGGGGCAUUAGCUAGAUGGUGGGGUAACGGCGCACCAAGGCCACGAUGCAGAGCCGACCUGAGAGGGUGAUCGGCCACACGGGAACUGAGACACGGCCCAGACUCCUAAGGGAGGCAGAAGUGGGGAAUAUUCGGCAAUGGACGAAAGUCUGACCGAGCAACGCCGCGUGAGUGAAGAAGGUUUUCGGAUCGUAAAACUCUGUAUUUAGAGAAGCGGUAUCUAACCAGAAAGCCACGGCUAACUACGUGCCAGCAGCCGCGGUAAUAC